rnacentral:rRNA from 1 species
UACAGAGGCCUCGAGCGUUAGGCGGAAUCACUGGGCUUAAAGCGUGUGUAGGCGGAUCGUUAAGUACCUUGUGAAAUCCCACGGCUCAACCGUGGAACGGCUGGGUAUACUGGCGGUCUUGGGCCAUUCAGGGGCGACUGGAACAAGCGGUGGAGCGGUGAAAUGCGUAGAUAUCGCUUGGAACGCCGAAGGUGAAAACAGGUCGCUGGGGAUGUGCCGACGCUGAGACACGAAAGCCAGGGGAGCAAACGGG